UGAUCCCGUGGGCACGUCUGCCUGAGUGCCUUG
rnacentral:rRNA from 1 species